rnacentral:rRNA from 1 species
CGUCUAUAUACGUAUAGCAUAUCAAUAAGCGGAGGAAAAGAAACUAACUAGGAUUCCCUCAGUAACGGCGAGUGAAGCGGGAAGAGCUCAAAUUUGAAAUCUUCAAGGUUCUACCUUGACGAAUUGUAGUUUAAAGAAGUGUUUUCUGUUGGAGUUUUGGUAAAAGUUCUUUGGAAUAGGACAUCAUAGAGGGUGAGAAUCCCGUAUUUGACCAUUAUUUCCAACUUUGUGAUACACUUUCAAAGAGUCGGAUUGUUUGGGAAUGCAGUCCAAAAUGGGUGGUAAAUUUCAUCUAAAGCUAAAUACUGGCGAGAGACCGAUAGCGAACAAGGUACCGUGAGGGAAAGAUGAAAAGAACUUUGAAAAGAGAGUUAAACAGUACGUGAAAUUGUCAAAAGGGAAGCGUUUGACACCAGUGUUGUUUUCUCGAAAAUCAAUUAAAAAUGGCGGGAUUUUGUGUUGUAUUGACUUUAUCAGCUUUCUGCACUUUUUUCCUUAUCUUUUUUAAUGCACUUUUCGUUUAACAAGUCAACAUCAAUUUCUUUUGUUGUAAAAGGGUCAUUGGAAGGUGGCUUUCUUUUCGGAGAAAGUGUUUAUAGCCUUUGACUUCUGCAAUCGGAGAGAUUGAGGUCUGCAGCGUAGAUCCUUCGGGGUUAGAUGCAUUUGUGCUAAGUUAUAGCCUUUCAUAGACAACUUGUUGACUAUGAUCAGUCAUGUAGCUUACUCGCUUAUGUUAUUUUACCUACGCUUAGGAUGUUGACGAUCAGCUGAGCGCG